GACGAACGCUGGCGGCGUGCUUAACACAUGCAAGUCGAACGAAGUGGCGAACGGGUGAGUAACGCGUAAUCAACCUGCCCUUCAGAGGGGGAAAACAGUUGGAAACGACUGCUAAUACCGCAUACUGAAGGAGGGGUUUGCGUCUGAUUAGCUAGUUGGGUGGGUAACGGCCCACCAAGGCGAUGAUCAGUAGCCGGUCUGAGAGGAGGAACGGCCACAUUGGGACCUGGACACGGCCCAGACUCCUACGGGAGGGAGCAGGGGGGAAUUUUCCGGAAUGGACGAAAGGCUGACGGAGCAACGCCGGGGGAGUGAUGACGGCCUUCGGGUUGUAAAGCUCUUUUAAUCGGGACGCGGUACCGGAAUAGAAAGCCACGGCUAACUACGUGCCAGCCGCCGCGGUAAUAC
rnacentral:rRNA from 1 species